UACGAAGGGGGCUAGCGUUGCUCGGAAUUACUGGGCGUAAAGGGCGCGUAGGCGGACAGUUUAGUCAGAGGUGAAAGCCCAGGGCUCAACCUUGGAAUUGCCUUUGAUACUGGCUGUCUUGAGUUCGGGAGAGGUGAGUGGAAUGCCGAGUGUAGAGGUGAAAUUCGUAGAUAUUCGGAAGAACACCAGUGGCGAAGGCGACUAACUGGACAAGUAUUGACGCUGAGGUACGAAAGCGUGGGGAGCAAACAGG
rnacentral:rRNA from 1 species